UCCGAAGGCUGGACCAAGGGUUUCCUGAGCACGAGGUAGGGAAAUGAUGCCUCUAGGGAGGGGACGACACCCGCAUGCGUCGCCUUUGCUAGCCUCCGUCACCAUGAAUCAAGGAUUUCUCCCAGCCCAAGAUCACAAACCCAAAGUCCACCGGAGCUGCUCAAUCAGGCCGACCAUCUCAGCGGGAGGUGUGUCAUCACGCACCACAGCAGCCGCCACCACCUAGCACACUGAGUGGAGACCACCGGGCCGUGUCCAAGCCUUGAUGCGUGAGCCUAGCAAGCUGUUACCUCCUCUUUCCUGAUGGGUGGAGUUUCGUGCUCGCUUCCCUUCAUCGUUGGAGUGCAGGCAGGGAAGGAGAGGCAGGCUGUGACUGCAGUCUCUUCCCUUUUCCCUCUUCCACCAUUGCCGUAUGUCGGCUGGAUCCCAUCCUUGCCAGUUGCCAUCCCAGUAUGGCAGAAUCCCACCAUGCUCGAAGAGAAGGCACAAAAGAGGCAAGUCUUGCGCUCGGAUUAAACCGCAAUGGCAUAUGGGGCAGUGCGGAUUUGGGAGUGGUAACCAUUGUUUUUAAGGCGGUAAGGCGAGGCAAGGCGCUGGGGGGCGCCUCACUGCCUAAGCGCCAAGGCAUAAGGUAAGGCGGACGCCUUAGAGAGAUCUAAGCAGCAGAAUAUAGUAUAAUUUGGUAGCAACUAGGCAAUCUAAGCAGUAGAAUAUAGUAUAACUUCGUAGGCAACUAGGCAAUCUAAGCAGCAGAAAUAUAGUAUAAUUUGGUAGGCUCCCUUUUGUUGCCUGUUGCUGGUUGCUGCUGUACUGGAGAGGAGGAGGUUGAGGAGCUGCUCGAGAGGAGGAGGAGCCGUUGGAGAGGAGGAGGGGGAGGAGCUGCAGAGUAGGGAGCAGAUCUGCUGGAGAGGAGCCACUGGAGAGGAGGAGGAGGUGCGUGUGGAUUGGGGGCUGUUUCUCUCUCCCCCCUCUUACCUGUUAGCGCCAACAGCAUCUCUGUUUCCCGCCUAAAACUGCUCCCCUGCCUGCCUGGCAAGCUCAAGGCAUCCAAUAUGGACUAGGGCGCCAACUUGGACUCCUAAGCAGACGCUUCAGACGCCUUAAAGCUUAAGGCGGACACCUUAUGUAGGUACCUAAGGCAAGGUGGACGCCUUGAGCUUGCAGGGCGCCCGGCGACGCCUUACGGACGCCUUAAAAACAAUGGCGGUAAUGACCAUGAGCCAGCCUAAAAAAGCUACCUCUUUGACGCUAUGGCAACGAAGGAUACAUUGAUGAUGAGCAGCUUUUCCUAGGUGGUUUAAUUACCAUGUCAGGACGGUUUGUUUAUACAGAUCCAUUCCUGUUAGUUCUAUAAUUUUCAGGUCUCUAUUUUGGUGCACGGUUCACUUUCUAGGAAUGGAAAGGAUGCAGGGAAAUGAAGUAUAGGCCCAGCGUUCGGAACAUGGGACAGAAAAGCCGCAGAGUAAAGCACAUGUUAAUGCUAUUUAUAUGGGGAAGUUUCUACGGCACCAUUUCCCCACUGCUCAUGUUCAAGUGAAAUGUAGACACUGUAAUUUUGUGGAACGGUCUGGCGAUACAAACCAUCUAGCAAAACCGUGGUUCAGAGUUGGAUGUGCUACUAUCAACUUUGCAGAAUGUUUUGACAGACUGUUGAAUGUCCUAGCUAGUUAAUGGCAAGAAUGCAUGCAGGUUUGGUUCUCGUGCCCAGAGAUAGAAGCUAUCUUGAGACUUGGAGACAACGACGUGUUUAAUCAUCCCGAGUGUGCAAAUGAUGUUGGAGGAGAUGAUGGCGUCCAAGCUCGGGGGCAUGUACAGCAGACUUGUUACCUCAAGCUUUACUCAGGGGAACAGAGGGCUUUCAGGCUCGGUGCUGACCUCGUGAAGCUGAUUCGAAUCUUUCAGGGAGUAGCUUUCUUACCCAUUUGUCAAUCUUUGUGUAUUUGUGCAAAAGCUUGCAUUAAAGGUCCAGCUUCGUGGUAGUUUCUACGUACCAAAUAAGUGUAGUUUUAUGCAAUUUACUUAAUGUGAAUGUAAUGAUCAUAGUUAAAGGUUCAGCUUCGUGGUAGUUUCUACGUACCAAAUAAGUAUAGUUUUAUGGAAUUUACUUAAUGUGAAUGUAAUGAUCAUAGUUAUCGAACAAUUCACACAUUUGUCAUUCUAUACCUUGCAGAAAAAGAUUUGCUAGGAUAACUGUGGAAAUAUGGUGAACAAAAAGGCUGAAAUAAAUAGCUAGCAAUAGCAUAUACGAGGAAGAAGACAUGACGACGAUAUUGCAGGGGAAAUCUGUGAAAUCCAUGUUGGCUCAGAGUGUGCUGAGUUCAUCGGCAACGCUGGCAGCGUCCAACGGCGCGGAGACAUAACUUUUAUUUUACAUGGAGGAGCAUUAGUUGGCGUGGCUAAGAAUGCAUGCGUAAGUUCAAACUGUAGCCUGUACCUGUAUGUACUCUUAGUACUCCUUUGGUUUAGAGGAAUUUCAUAGGAAUUCUAGAGGAUAGGAUUCUUAUAGGAUUUUUUCCUUUAG